ensembl:snRNA U6 U6 spliceosomal RNA
GUGCUCACUUCAGCAGCACAUAUACUAAAACUGGAACCACACAGAGAAAAUUAGUAUGGCCCCUGCACAAAGAUGGCACGCAAAUUUGUGAAGGGUUCCAUAUUUAA